AGGCUUCUGUAUCUGUUCUGAGAUUUCGUCAUACACCAGACCACAAGGGCUGAUGAGACUUCCAAGACCUACACGCU
rnacentral:pre_miRNA from 1 species